rnacentral:lncRNA from 1 species
CUCUCACAUAAAUUUAUGGAGUCCAUGCUUGACUCCCAGUGGGCUGGGAUCCCAUCUAUUAUAUUAAGACCUUGAGUGUACUCAACAAGCCCUAAUAUAAUAUUUGGGUAGAUACUAUUAUCAAUUGUAUCUCCAUACAACUCCCAGAUCAUUAAGCUGACAACUCUUUGUUUUCACACAUCUUAUGUGUUAGCUUAACUUGCCUCUAAAAUUUAUCUCCUUGAGUGUACUCAACAAAAGAUAAAUUUUAGUUAAGUCAAACCCAUCAUUCAGAAAUAUCAAAU